rnacentral:misc_RNA from 1 species
UUUGACCGUGACGGUACGUGAGUGGGUGUGUACCCAGUGCAUGGCGGGCCCCCUGUUUUCGUGCAGCCGACCGCCAGUGCGAUGGGACGCUUCGUUCGGAAGAUCUCGAGACUGCGGCUCGGCGUAUUCGGUGGGUUGUAUCGCAUAGUCGAGAUGUGGCGACUCGGUCACCCAACGUUAGUAACAUGCCGUUCUACUCUCUCGCUCCCCUCGGGUCGGGCGAGAAGCGAGAAGAGCGGCCCCCUUACGACGUCCAGUGCGUCCUCGGCGGCGCGUGCGGCCUGCCUGCACCGUUGCGUGCGUGCGGCGUGCUUGCACCGUCCGGCCCUCUGGACCGUCGUGUGCUUACGGAUGCAGCGAAUCGGAUGGGGUCGGGUGCCCCGUGUGGCUCCCGACCCGACGAAGGCCCCGGAAGGUGUUUGCGCACGCCGCGAGCGGGCAAACAAACCAGAGGGCAGAUAGAAUAAACGACCGCCGCGCGUGCGUCCUCGCCCUCGUCCUCGUCUCGACGGGGGAGGGACGGGCCGCGUGCGUCUCUCGGAGGGUUCGCUACCUGGU